GGGAGCUCGUGGUCAAACUCAUGGAGGUAACCGAUCUCAUUAUGGCACCAAAAAUAACUGCAGCUCAAGUUGCAUAUCUGAAAAUUUUGACCGAAGACUACAUAGUGUCUCGAAGUAUCCUGUUUCCCAGUGCCAAACUACGGCCAAAGCAUCACUACAUGCUACAUUACAGUGAACUUAUUCAGGAGUUUGGCCCACUCUGCCACGUGUGGACUAUGAGAUUUGAAGGCAAACAUCAAUAUUUUAAACAGUGCAUACGCAGUUCACGAAACUUCAAGAAUGUCACAAAGACAUUGAGCGAACGACACCAGCUUUAUCAAUCAUUCCUGGCUGCCCGAGGUUUAUUCCGCACUUCUCCAGUGUUCACAGACAUGAGCCAGGAUGAGCAAACAAGGAUUCAGAGUGAGGUUGUGCAUUGUCAGAUUCGUGAGCAUAGUGUCCUGCUAAAGAAAGCCACUGUGGAUGGUUGCAUGUAUGCAGUCGAUGACUAUGUUCUUGUGUCGGGAACAAGGUUUGAUCCUGUGUUUGGUUUAAUAAUUGCCAUUGUGAAAAACAUCUCUGCAGAAAUAUUUCUGUUAGUUAAGUGUGUUCGUUCAGCAUGCUUGCCAGGUCUCUCGUUGUAUGUGUUGCAAAGUUCAGCUUGCACAACAGAACUCCUAUGCCCUUUUGAGCUGCUAGACAGGACAGCUUACCAGCCCUACGCUUUCAAUGGUGCCACUGUUAUUAGACUGAACUUUUCAUUUCCUGAAACGCUGUGAGCACUAUCAGGCUGGUUUUGCAUGCUCAAUUGUGUAUCGAAAUUCUGUUGUUAUACCUCACUGUGAAGUUUGUUAUAAAAGUUGAAUGAAAAAGCAUGCCUUGCAAUAGCAAAAAAAAAGUUUGCCUUGUUGAUAGGGCUUCAUAUAGUAUUUUAGUCCUACAUUGUUUUACUGCAGACACUCGAUAUACAGCAAAGCCACUCAGUAUGGUACAUUAUACAGUAGAACCGUGUUACAGUGCAGUUGUUGAUACAGGGAAGACCUUCACUAUAUUGGUAUCUUCACUACAGCUUUAGUUCACCAUUUUGCUUUUCUGUGACUACGAUUAAGCUUUGCCAUGCACAGUGGGUUCUAAAGGAGUGCAAGUUUGCUACUUGUUGAAAUGUAGUGCCUAUAUUUACAGAAAAGUUCUUACUGUAGAAAGAAUGGUGAAUGCUAAUUCCAAGCAAUCCUGUUAAUGCACAAAUCGUUAUUCAAGGUGACCAGACAAUGGCAAAAAUCGCUUGCAAAAGGAAAGCUUUCUCGGCCCCAUAUUUGCAGGCUAUCAUUGCAUGUAUGGAUUCUGCCACCAUUUCUGUAAUAGGAAAGCAUAGUUACCACUCUGAUGGGACUUCAAAGUUCAAAGCAGCCAGUGUGUGCAUUCAGGCAUAAAUUGUAAAUUGAAAUGGUUCGCUGAAAUAACCAUGGUGAGUGCAAGUAUUGUUUACUCCCAUAAUUUUCUGAAAACUGUACUUUUGUUUAUGGCACAACUACCCACGGUUUCAUAUAUCAGUUUAUUCGUUAUGACCAUCUUAACUAUAUCAAUUAAAAAAAUUAAUGGACACCUGUCUGAGUGUAAUCACAAGCAGUUGUAGCAGCACCAGCAAUGCCACCACCUUCUCGCCUUGCAACGUUUCUAUAUAAAUUAGUUUGUAUAUGUGUGCUUACUCGUGCUUAAGCAACGCAGUAUUUCUCUUCAACACAGAUGUUCCCUAUAUGCGGCUUUGCUCUAUCAAGAUUCUGCUGUAUCAUACUAGAAAGACGGCUACUGUUGUCGAUGUUCCAAUAUUUGUAUCAGUUUAUAGUUGUACUGUCAGAGUAAAAUAUAAAUUGUAGCCUGCAAACUCUGAUAUAGUGCUGUCUUGAAGCAAAGCGUGCUUUGUGGUAUGCUUGUUAUUAUGUAAAAAACUCUUUUCAAUUGUUAUGUUAAGCCAAGUUGCAUUUCUUGUGUGAAUUGCCGUGUGAAACUUGCUUGCCCAAGUAGGCAAUAUUGAUAUCAACUGCUCUGUAUGUGAUGUUAGAUGUACUGGACAGUCUGUACUCUUUUCCAUGCCCCUGGGCUUGGAGCAUGUAGUUGCAUUGUUUGCUUUGCAACACAUUUGCAUUUGUCUGUUACCUGGUGUUUUGUGAUUUAUACUGUUAGAUGGAACUUACAAGUUCUGAAAGUUCCAGUUAUUUGGUGUGGCAGCUCGCAUAAGUGUCAUCACUGACCAGUGCAGUGAAUACUGUAGGUUCUUCGCUAUACAAAAGUGUUUCUUGAUGCUUCUCAACAAGCUUCUCGCCACUGCACUGCAGGAAACAGUCCACUAUGCCACUUAUUAAAAUUUGGAGUGGCGAUCAAGUGGUGAAAAAGGUGGCUCAUGCUACCACUUUAGCAGAGGUGCUUGUUCAGGCAAACGAAAAAGGAGUCUGCAGUUCUCCAAAUGCAAAGGUUUUCUUGAGAGACUGGACUCAGUUAGAUGAAGACAUCUUCAAGGACGUAUUGGAAGAACUUCCACUUGAAGAGAGAGUAUUCAUUGUGGCGGAAGUAAUUCCACCAAUUCCAGUUGACCAGGCUGUUCCAGGCAGCUCCGGGCUAGAUGAUCUAGUGGAAACCUUCCACAGUGCAAACACUCAAUUUAAGCUUGAAAUUGAUAGAUUGCCAGUAAGUGUGCAAACUGCCCUUGAAGCUAACGGACCUCUUCCUCCAAGAGAGAGGAGGGAAUUGGUGAGGUCCACUGUUGACCAGCUAACAAAAUUCUGUUCGAGGCCAAGGCGGGAACUCAUCAAGUCUGUAGCUUCAGCCAUAGUGCUGAAAUUUCCCAGCGCACUGCAAGACAAGGCAAUAGGUGGCCACCUCCUCGGUAGAG